CUUCACUUUCUCACUGGCAGAUGUAUCUUACCUAUUCUUUUUUGUUGACUUCAGCUUUCAAGUCCCAAUAUGGUCAUCUGCUACUUCUUCUUUGAUAAAGCGUUUAUUAUAAUGAGACCAUGAGCAACUUACUGAUUCUCUUAAGUUGGUUUCCUCUUCCUAUGUUGGGACAACUGAAUGAGAUAAAUUCCAGGACCUGGCAGAUGUUGACUAUCAAGAAGGAUGAAGAAACUAGAAACUCAGAACUGAACACGACCAGCCUCAUUGACUGUGGAAGAAGCAGGAUGUGCCUUUGUCUGCUUCUCACAGAAGCCCCUCCUUCCUGCUGGCUUUGUGUAAGACAGCUCACCUGGUAGUAUGGAGUAGUUUCAACUUAAAGUAGAUUUAGUUCUGUAUGUAAUUGGGCAAAUGAGGGUAGAGUAGAGUGAUUUGUUUGUUGUUUCACAGUAUACUCCUAGUGAUGUGAGCUUUAGAAUAUGGUAUGUGGCACAGCUCGCUGCUGAUCUUCGUGUAUGUGGCAAUGUAUAAAAUUCACCAACUUAGUUUUCUGAGGUUGUGUAUAUUUUUAUUGUUUUAUUUUCUACCUUGAUAAAUAGCAAGACUUUUCAAUAUGCUUGGCAAAGAAAAGUCUCAUGGACAUUGUUAUGGAAUUGAUGCUACUUGUUUAAAUCUUUAAGAAACUAUCAAGCUCUAUGGACAAACUUGCUGUGUUUUUUUUGGUAAUGACAAUAUACUUAAGCAAUAAAUCAAAUUCUCACCUAAUUCCUAUUUUCUUGUGAAAUAGAGAUGAAGCUAGGCCCAAACUAGGACUCCUCUUCUAUGUAAAUUACAGCAAACUCUAAGCAUGCCUCCCUGCAAGCCUAACCUGCUCUAUAUGGAAUCAGAGUAUGUAGUAUAGCAGUGUUGUUCAAAGGGUUUCAUCAGGUGGGCUCUGCUAGAGAUGCUGAGUCACCACUUCUGGACUGGACUGCAAAGAGGGUCUUGUGACAGACCCAUCUGUCUUUCAGCAAGCAGUUCUGGGAAUAUGAAAACUAUUCCAAAGUUUGUCCAUUGGCUCUGAUUAUCUUCUCAAUGACACUGCCCUUCUUUAUAUUGUAAUGACUAUUAUGAUAUGAUUGAAAAUAUCAAUCAAGCAAUCAUUGUAUUAAUUAGAAGUGAAAAUUAAAUUAAAUGAAAUAUUUAUAGUGUAUAUUAGGGGUCUGGUUUAUAAUGCCCACAUCAUUCAUCACAUUGUACAGUAAUUGUAUCAUAGUUAUCUUCUCACAUAACUUGUUGCAACAUUUUUGAGAUUAGGAUUGUGUUGCUGGAAUUUUUAUAUUGUGUUUCCUGGCAUAUGGUAGGCAUCUGUUUUAGAAUGAAUGAAGUUAUUACCUUUAUAUAGAAGUGGUAUCACUUUUUAAAAACCAAAGCAGUUUUCUUCUCAGGAGAUUUAGAACUGAUUCAUAUGGAGCUAAAUUAUGGAUAGACUCAAAGUACAGAAUAUUCUUAGAUUAUUUUUUGGACCAUAAACUUUUGAAAGUCUAAUGUUUCCUUCAGAAACAUCAGGUUAAGAAUCUUUAGCUCAGAGAAGUGGUGAAAGGAGCCUAUCUAGUUCGCUAGGCUCCUCUUCCUUUCUGCACCCAAUAAUCCCUUAUUGCAGCUGUCUCCCCCUCAUCCUCCAUCUUCAGCUAGGGUCUUGCUCCUUUAAUGAUCUCUAAUCAUUCAGGGGAUGAUGACCUUUACCUGUGUCUUCUGGGAUUUUUCUGAGUUACUUGCCCUGCCUUAUCAGUGAAUAUAUCUAGUUUAUAAUUCACGACUCCUCCUGACCACCCCUCCUACUGCAACUUUAUGACUAUUUGAACUGACCAACAAUAAACUUUUUCCUAAUGUGCUAGAAGGAUCAACAAGAGGAACAAGUAGAAGACAGAGGACCUCCCUUCAUCUGUACUGCUGACAGUAAGGAUGUCCCAUCCUUCUAAAAAAGAUAAACUAUAUAUAUAUUUCAGAGAACCUGCCCU
rnacentral:lncRNA from 1 species